rnacentral:lncRNA from 1 species
UCUUUUAUUAAUUCAUUAAUACUUGAUGAAUUAAUUUAUUAUAAUUUUUGCAUAAGGUUAAUCAUCAAUUGAAUUAACGAUUAAGCCCUUGAACAAUUCUCAAUCGUUGAUCAGCUACAUGAUCAGUCAUAAAUUUUUUUGAGUAUGACUCCAUAGGUUCGAACCUAAGUUGGUAGCAUAAGAAUAACUUCUUGAACCAAUCGAUGUAACCAUCUUGCAAUAGUGACCCAACAUCCGGAUAGGUCGAAUGAAGACGAAGCAA